rnacentral:rRNA from 1 species
UACGGGGGGUGCAAGCGUUGUUCGGAAUUACUGGGCGUAAAGGGCUGGUAGGCGGCCAACUAAGUCGGAUGUGAAAUCCCCAGGCUUAACCUGGGAACUGCAUCCGAUACUGGUCGGCUUGAAUCCGGGAGAGGGAUGCAGAAUUCCAGGUGUAGCGGUGAAAUGCGUAGAUAUCUGGAGGAAUACCGGUGGCGAAGGCGGCAUCCUGGACCGGCAUUGACGCUGAAAAGCGAAAGCUAGGGGAGCAAACGGG